AAGCCCAUAGCAUAAUUGGUAGUGCGCAUCGUUGAUAUCGGUGUUUGUAGAGGUUCAAGUCCUCUUGGGCUUA